rnacentral:rRNA from 1 species
GACGAACGCUGGCGGCGUGCUUAACACAUGCAAGUCGAGCGGUAAGGCCCCUUCGGGGGUACACGAGCGGCGAACGGGUGAGUAACACGUGAGCAAUCUGCCCUUCACUUUGGGAUAACUCUGGGAAACGAGAGCUAAUACCGAAUACGACCACUUCAGGCAUCUGAUGGUGGUGGAAAGUUCCGGCGGUGAAGGAUGAGCUCGCGGCCUAUCAGCUAGUUGGUGGAGUAACGGCCCACCAAGGCUUCGACGGGUAGCCGGCCUGAGAGGGUGACCGGCCACACUGGGACUGAGACACGGCCCAGACUCCUACGGGAGGCAGCAGUGGGGAAUAUUGGACAAUGGGCGAAAGCCUGAUCCAGCAACGCCGCGUGAGGGAUGACGGCC